rnacentral:rRNA from 1 species
AAACCGCUUAGGGGUUAAGCCCGAUGAACCUGAAUAUCUGAAAUGAGAAAUUCAAUAUUAAUAUUUGAUUUAUUUAAUAAAAUAAAUAAUUUGUUGGUAUGCACUUUUCUCAUAGUAAGACAUUGCAAUCCAUUAGUGUUAUAUUUUAUGUAAAUAAAAUGAUUUAUUAAAUGGUCUAUUUUGUAUAGUUUAUUUUUUUAUAUUUUAUAUAUUUAUUUAUGUUGAAUUAAAAAAGUAAUACAAUUGAUAGAACCUAAUAAAUAGCUAAUGGAAUUUAAAAUAUCAUGCUCAACACUUUAUUGUGUAUAACGAUUUAUUAUUAUUUUUAUAAUAUUAAAUGCAUGUUUAUAGUAUGUAUAUGAUUAGCAAUGCGAUAGAUUUGGGAUACCUUCGGGACCCGUCUUGAAACACGGACCAAGAAGUCUAACAUGUGUGCAAGUUAUUGGGUAUAUUGAUGAAACCUAAAAGCAUAAUUAAAAUAACUAUUUUGGGAUUACAAGUAAUUUAAUUUUAAAUUAUUUCUCAAUCCCGGGGCGUUCUAAUUAAACAUGUUUUAAGUAAUUGAGACCUCUGUUUAAGAGCGUACCUUGAGCAUACAUGCUGU